UGAUCCUGGCUCAGAAUGAACGUUGGCAGCAUGGAUUAGGCAUGCAAGUCGAGCGUGCGUCUUUGGCGCAAGCGGCGAAAGGGUGAGUAAAGCAUAGGUAAUUACCCAUAUGUUCGGGAUAACAUCCUUAACGGGUUGCUAAUACCGGAUGCUGCGUAACAUCUGCAUGGAUGAUAUGUAAAAGGCGGAGAGAUCUGCCGCAUAUGGAGGAGCUUAUGUCCUAUUAGCCAGCUGGUGGGGUAACGGCCUACCAGGGCGAUGAUGGGUAGCCGGGUCGAGAGGCUGUCCGGCCACACUGGGACUGAGACACUGCCCAGACUCCUACGGGAGGCUGCAGUCGAGAAUCUUCGGCAAUGGACGAAAGUCUGACCGAGCGAUGCUGCGUGGAUGAUGAAGGUCUUCGGAUUGUAAAAUCCUGUUAGAAGCUAGGAAAUUUAUUGUAUGUAACUAUGCAGUAAUUGACAUAAACUUCAAAGAAAGCCACGGCUAAAUUCGUGCCAGCAGCCGCGGUAAUACGAAUGUGGCGAACGUUAUUCGGAAUUACUGGGCGUAAAGGGCGCGUAGGCGGUGAUACAAGUCUGAUGUGAAAUCCCCCGGCCUAACCGGGGAAUUGCGUUGGAAACUGUAUUGCUUGAGUGUGACGGGGGGAAGUGGAACUCCAGGUGGAGCGGUGAAAUGCGUAGAUAUCUGGAGGAACGCCGGCGGCGAAAGCGGCUUCCUGGGUCAUAACUGACGCUGAGGCGCGAAAGCCAGGGUAGCGAACGGGAUUAGAUACCCCGGUAGUCCUGGCCGUAAACGAUGGAUACUUGAUAGUAGGGGAGUUGGUGCCUUUACUGUCGUAGCAAACGCGUUAAGUAUCCCGCCUGGGGAGUACGACCGCAAGGUUGAAACUCAAAGGAAUUGACGGGGGCUCACACAAGCGGUGGAGCAUGUGGUUUAAUUCGAAGCAACGCGAAGAACCUUACCAGGACUUGACAUAUAGGUAUUAAUGAUUUGAAAGAUGAUUGAGCCGGGAAACCGGCAGCCUAUACAGGUGUUGCAUGGCUGUCGUCAGCUCGUGCCGUGAGGUGUCGAGUUAAGUCUCUUAACGAGCGAAACCCUUGCCGCUAGUUACCAUCAUUAAGUUGGGGACUCUAGUGGGACUGCCGCGUAAAAGUUGGAGGAAGGCGAGGACGACGUCAAGUCAUCAUGGCCCUUACAUCCUGGGCGACACACGUGCUACAAUGGUCGAUACAGAGGGAAGCGAAGUCGUGAGGCGGAGCAAAUCCCAGAAAGUUGGCCCUAGUUCGGAUUGAAGGCUGCAAUUCGCCUUCAUGAAGCUGGAAUCGCUAGUAAUCGCGGGUCAGCCAUACCGCGGUGAAUAUGUUCCUGAGCCUUGAACACACCGCCCGUCAAGCCACGGAAGCUUGGAGUACCUGAAGUCGCUGACCUAACAAUUUAUUUUGGAGGAAGUGCCGACGGUAAGCUGAGUGACUGGGACUAAGUCG
rnacentral:rRNA from 1 species